rnacentral:misc_RNA from 1 species
GAUGAAGAACGCAGCGAAAUGCGAUACGUAAUGUGAAUUGCAGAAUUCAGUGAAUCAUCGAAUCUUUGAACGCAUAUUGCGCUCUCUGGUAUUCCGGAGAGCAUGCUUGUUUGAGUAUCAGUAAACACCUCAACUUCCAUAUCUUUUUUGAAAUGGGAGUUGGACUUGAGUGAUCCCAACGCUUUUCCUCACCGAAAAGUGGCGGGUUACUUGAAAUGCAGGUGCAGCUGGACUUUUCUCUGAGCUAUAAGCAUAUCUAUUUAGUCUGCCUAAAAAACAGAUUAUUACCUUUGCUGCAGCUAACAUAAAGGAGAUUAGUUCUUGUGCUGACUGAUGCAGGAUUCACAAAGACGGCUUCGGCCUACUUUGUAAACUCGAUCUCAAAUCAAGUAAGACUACCCGCUGAACUUAAGCAUAUCAAUAAGCGGAGGA